UACGUAGGGGGCAAGCGUUGUCCGGAUUUAUUGGGCGUAAAGAGCGUGUAGGCGGCCGUACAGGUCAGCUGUGAAAACUCGAGGCUCAACCUCGAGAUGUCGGCGGAAACUGUCUGGCUAGAGUCCGGAAGAGGAGAGUGGAAUUCCUGGUGUAGCGGUGAAAUGCGCAGAUAUCAGGAAGAACACCUAUGGCGAAGGCAGCUCUCUGGGACGGUACUGACGCUGAGACGCGAAAGCGUGGGGAGCGAACAGG
rnacentral:rRNA from 1 species